GGGCCCUUAGCUCACCUGGUAGAGCGUCCGCAUGGCAUGCGGAAGGUAGUCGGUUCGAGUCCGAUAGGGUCCA
rnacentral:tRNA from 2 species